rfam:Pelecanus crispus contig80670, whole genome shotgun sequence.
CAACAGGUUUUUCUGAAAACCAUACUUGUAUUUAUUUACAUGCUUG